rnacentral:rRNA from 1 species
CGCGGCCUAUCAGCUUGUUGGUGGGGUAACGGCCCACCAAGGCAUCGACGGGUAGCUGGUCUGAGAGGAUGAUCAGCCACACUGGGACUGAGACACGGCCCAGACUCCUACGGGAGGCAGCAGUGGGGAAUCUUGCGCAAUGGGCGAAAGCCUGACGCAGCAACGCCGCGUGCGGGAAGAAGGCCCUCGGGUUGUAAACCGCUUUCAGCAGGAACGAAAAUGACGGUACUUGCAGAAGAAGGUGCGGCCAACUACGUGCCAGCAGCCGCGGUGACACGUAGGCACCAAGCGUUGUCCGGAUUUAUUGGGCGUAAAGAGCUCGUAGGCGGUUCGGUAAGUCGGGUGUGAAAACUUUGGGCUUAACCCAAAGCCUGCGUCCGAUACUGCUGUGACUAGAGUUCGGUAGGGGAGCGGAGAAUUCCUAGUGUAGCGGUGAAAUGCGCAGAUAUUAGGAGGAACACCGGUGGCGAAGGCGCCGCUCUGGGCCGAUACUGACGCUGAGGAGCGAAAGCGUGGGUAGCAAACAGGAUUAGAUACCCUGGUAGUCCACGCCGUAAACGUUGGGCACUAGGUGUGGGUCUCAACCAACGAGAUCCGCGCCGUCGCUAACGCAUUAAGUGCCCCGCCUGGGGAGUACGG